ensembl:lncRNA
UCUGGGGUGGGGGGCAGGUGUCUCAGGAGGGGACGGUGUCUAACCUGGCCGGCGCGGUCUCAGCGUUUACCCAAGCAGGCCCUGUUGUUUUAGCGAAGCCUCAGCUCUCGGAUGUGUGAUUAAGUAGGGCUGUGUUGCUCGCUAGAAAUACGAAAAAAAAAAAUCCUCUGGUGUCUCAUCCUUAUGGAGAGAAAAAUGAAAACAUGCUGCAAAAAGUUCAGAAGUGAGAAAAAAAUUACAACAGCAGUAAAAAGCAAAUAACCUGUGUGUUACUUCAAGCUAAUCUUGCAAAUAGUAGGGCUCAAAAUUUAAAACAGAGAUGCUGAGUGCUACCUGUUCAUGGGAUGGCAAAACAGUAGAGAAGGAUUCUGUGGAAAGCUGUUUGGAAAUCAAAUUUUGAGCCAGAUCAUCCUCAUCCACAUACUCAUUGAUGUCUUCACAGAAUGUCAGGAGAAGUAAAGUCUAACAACAUCUUUGUCAGGAUGCAAACUGCAAAUGGCAUGUCUGCUGUUCUGAUUACAAUGGCUG